UAAAACCUAUUUAAAAUGGCGGCAUUUCAUCUUAUUAGAGGAACUUGUUUUAUAAUCGAUAAUCCCCGAUAAUUUUCACUUUAAUUAAAAAUUUAUAUACCGCCAUCUAAAGAAUUAAUUUUUAAUAUUAUUCUAAAUAAAAUAUAAAAAGUUAGGUCAAGGUGUAAUCUAUAUUAAAGUAAACAAUGAGUUACUUUAAAAACAAUUUAAGGAUUCUUUAACAUAAAUUUUCUCUUGAAAAAGGAUUUAAAAGUAAUAUUAUAUAUUAAUAUUUUAAU
rnacentral:rRNA from 1 species